rnacentral:misc_RNA from 1 species
UGUUUGAGCGCAAAUGACAAAUAUCUGCAGUCUACCAUCAAAUAUGUGGAUGAGCAGCUAUCUAAUUCUCAAGCAAUUCCAUCUGUGGCUAUCUGAUUUACGCAUGAGAUCAAUUGACACGUUAAAUAGGAAAAAUCUUAGGAAAUAUUCAUUUGCAUUCAAUCAGUUUUCUCUCUUGCUCAGGACUGACAUCAACAAGAUAUUCAAAAUAAACUUGUUCUACAAAUUAUAGGUAGCAUAUUCUUUUAUUUU